rnacentral:rRNA from 1 species
UGCUAUACAUGCAGUCGAGCGAACAGAUAAGGAGCUUGCUCCUUUGACGUUAGCGGCGGACGGGUGAGUAACACGUGGGUAACCUACCUAUAAGACUGGGAUAACUUCCGGAAACCGGAACUAAUACCGGAUAACAUUUGGAACCGCAUGGUUCUAAAGUGAAAGAUGGUUUUGCUAUCACUUAUAGAUGGACCCGCGCCGUAUUAACUAGUUGGUAAGGUAACGGCUUACCAAGGCGACGAUACCUAACCGACCUGAAAGGGUGAUCGGCCACACUGGAACUGAAACACGGUCCAGACUCCUACGGGAGGCAGCAGUAGGGAAUCUUCCGCAAUGGGCGAAAGCCUGACGGAACAACGCCGCGUGAGUGAUGAAGGGUUUCGGCUCGUAAAACUCUGUUAUUAAGGAAGAACAAACGUGUAAGUAACUGUGCACGUCUUGACGGUACCUAAUCAGAAAGCCACGGCUAACUACGUGCCAGCAGCCGCGGUAAUACGUAAGUGGCAAGCGUUAUCCGGAAUUAUUGGGCGUAAAGCGCGCGUAAGCGGUUUCUUAAGUCUGAUGUGAAAGCCCACGGCUCAACCGUGGAGGGUCAUUGGAAACUGGGAAACUUGAGUGCAGAAGAAGAAAGUGGAAUUCCAUGUGUAGCGGUGAAAUGCGCAGAGAUAUGGAGGAACACCAGUGGCGAAGGCGACUUUCUGGUCUGUAACUGACGCUGAUGUGCGAAAGCGUGGGGAUCAAACAGGAUUAGAUACCCUGGUAGUCCACGCCGUAAACGAUGAGUGCUAAGUGGUAGGGGGUUUCCGCCCCUUAGUGCUGCAGCUAACGCAUUAAGCACUCCGCCUGGGGAGUACGACCGCAAGGCUGAAACUCAAAGGAAUUGACGGGGACCCGCACAAGCGGUGGAGCAUGUGGUUUAAUUCGAAGUCACGCGAAGAA